GAUGAACGCUAGCGGCAGGCCUAACACAUGCAAGUCGAGGGGUAGAAGUUGCUUGCAACUUUGAGACCGGCGCACGGGUGCGUAACGCGUAUGCAAUCUGCCUUGUACUGAGGGAUAGCCCAGAGAAAUUUGGAUUAAUACCUCAUAGCAUUAUGAUGUGGCAUCACAUUAUAAUUAAAGUUCCAACGGUACAAGAUGAGCAUGCGUCCCAUUAGUUAGUUGGUAAGGUAACGGCUUACCAAGACGAUGAUGGGUAGGGGUCCUGAGAGGGACAUCCCCCACACUGGUACUGAGACACGGACCAGACUCCUACGAGAGGCAGCAGUGAGGAAUAUUGGUCAAUGGGCGCAAGCCUGAACCAGCCAUGCCGCGUGCAGGAUGACGCAUCUAUGGUGUGUAAACUGCUUUUGUACAGGAAGAAACACUCCCUCGUGAGGGAGCUUGACGGUACUGUAAGAAUAAGGAUCGGCUAACUCCGUGCCAGCAGCCGCGGUAA
rnacentral:rRNA from 1 species